GCUCUGUGAUGAACCCCAUGCGUGUCAUCUGAGCCUGGCUUCCCUGUGGUUACCUUAGCCCAGGUAGUGUUCUACUUACCAGGGCUUCUGCCUGGCUUAUCAGGGAAGCUUUGGGCAAAGGAUCAGUCCUUGUAUUCUGAGAGC
ensembl:snoRNA Gm25835 small nucleolar RNA SNORD10